rnacentral:lncRNA from 1 species
AUGAAAACUUCUGCACAUCAGACGUACAGUCCCGCCAUGAGAGGGUCAUACUCGGAGGGUCACAUAGAGUCCGGAGCAGAGACCCAAGGAAGAACUCAGCUGUCUUCUGGUGCAUGGAGAAGGAAUGGGCAGAUCUUUUUAAAACCUGACUCUAUUUACAUUCCCCAAAGCAAGGACAUCCACUUUGUAAAGCACUUACGAAGUUGUUCUUCCUCUAGGGCACAAUUGCUCUCUGCAGCUCAGAGUCCAGCUUGUCUAGUGCCAUUAGCAUUGCAGAUGUCUCAAGCCAGAACUACCCAGUCUGUGUGUCUCAGGUAUCAGGAAGAAAGGGCCAGGGCCCUGGGACCAGAAUCUGGAAGCACCUGCUGCCUGGAUCUGCUUGUUCUACACCAUAUCCUUUUCACCAAGAGGCCAGAGAAGGUUUCCGAUUAUGUUGUGAGGAGCCCCAGGGCUCUGUGAAUGUGACUUGGCCUCCUCGAAUGAGCGUGGUAGAAGGGGAAGGUUGUGAAUUGACAGGGUCCCGCAGCCUUAACUCCCUUGUAUCUAGGAUUGUCUUACUGCUAUUCGUCACAGAGUCUGGAUUCCAGAAGAAAACUGAAUUUGCAUGGAGGAUUCUAUUGCCAAAAAAGAGAACAUGCAAACCACCAGUGAGAAGAAGGCACACCCCCUUACGCUGCCAGAUCGAAGGUUGGGGGUCAAGGGUGGAUCUUAGAGAGCAGGGGCCAUUUUGGUUUCUGGCUGAGGUGAGGAGGCAGCCAAGGCCAGCAAAGGGCUAGAGCAGGAAUGUGCUCUAUUCUCCCCCCAGGUGUGAAUCUGGAGGAGCUGGGAAGCACCUGCAUCCUCCAGCUGCUCUGGGAGGUUUUGUUUGGCUCAGGGAAUCUGGAGCAGCGGCCAAGGGCUGCCUCAGGAACGAACAGGCUGUUUUCUGAAAAUAGGACAUUUGGUGUCUUUAAAGGCAGCGUGUCCCCAGUUCCCCACGUGGUCCAUUGCCUUGGAGAGGGAGCAGGCUUGCAGAGCUGCUGAGUGCCGAAUGAAAGGUUCAGGAUGUGCACAUCAAGCAGUCUCCAACUCCGCGUUUAUGGGCCUAAAUCUUUUCAUCUUGGGAUCUCAAAGCACCUUACCUGGCAUUAACAGUGAUUGCUUCAGCUUAAGGGAGAAAACAUAGAGACAGGAGUGAACAGAACCUGCUGGAUGAGCCAGUGAGGGAAUGGUGAGGUGAGUCGUGAAUAAAUCCUGGGGCUACAGGAAACUUUGAAACGCUGCUGGAGAUUUGAUGGGAUUUCUUCCUCUCCCAACAUCACAGCACUUGAAAAUGGAGGGGAAAUGAUGUGUUUCAGAACCUGAAUUUCAUUGCCAAGGAAAUAAUCCUAAAAUGGGGACCAGAUCAUGACCAAGGAAGCCAAAAAGGAAGCACAUCACACACGUUUGAGUAGAUCCUACUGUAAAAAGAACAAGUAACCCUCUAUCCUUUAUUGUUUACUCAACAGUCCUUCUCCCAACAACUUAUAGAUAAGACUUCAGCACAAGAUCCUGCCAACACAGCUGUGAGAAUAGAAAAGGACUCUGAAAUACAUAAAAGGAAACACUGAGAGUCCAAGAAACAGCAGUUACAUCAUAAAAAGACAUGGUGGUGAUAAUUUUGUACGGAGGUUAUUUUAUAUAAAGUAUCUUAGUCAUCCUGACAACGUCCCUUCGAGGUAUGUAUCAUCACAGGUGAAGAAACUUUAACUGAGAGAGGUUCAAGUUUUACUGUGUGCUAAAGAAGAGGAAAAGUCAGGAUCUGUAUCCAGAGUUAGUUGCCUCUGACAUCACCAUGUUCUUUUAAUCCCACUGUGCCUGAGUACUGACUUGAGACUGAGGGUCAAUGUUAUUAAAAUUUUAGAUGUGGUCAAGACAACAAAUAUGACAAAAGUAAAAUGUUAGAAUGAUCUAAAUGAGAAAUAUGUGAAUCCUGUACGAUGAAAACUCUCGUGAGAGACACAGACUUGCACAUCUCUCGUUCUUGGAUAGUCUAUUUCAGUAUCAAUAUGUUGGUUCUGGGGCUGGGGAAAUAGCUCAGUGGCUCAAGUGCCUGACUAGCAAGUGUAAGGUCAUGAGUUCAGUUCCCAGGGCCAAUAUGUUGGUUCUGCAUAAGUUAAUUUAUGAAUAUAAUGUAAUCUUGAUAAAACUUAUAACUUUGUAUUUCCCAGAUGAUACUAGAAGUUCAUCUGGGAAAAGAACAUGCAAGAGUAUCCAUGAAGAGUGAAAAGAAAUAGCUAUAUGUGGAGAAGGGAUUAAGGAGCGGGGAGAUGCAUCCUAAGAGAUAGUAAAACACACUACAAAGUGUCUGAAAUUCAAACAGUUCAAGAUGGACACACAAAGUCAAACUAAUGAAUAAAGUAGCUCAGAAACCAAAUACAUAUACAAAUGUAGCAUAUAUCCAAGGUGGGAUUUUAAAUCACUAGACAAAAGAUAAAUAUUUUAGCAAGCCUGCUGGUACAUGCCUAUAAUACCAGCAAGAGAACUGCAAGUUCAAAGUGUCCUGCAGGAGUUUAGCAAGAUCUUGUCUCCAAAUAAAAAAUAAGAAGGGCUGGGGAUGUACCUCAGUCAGUGUGAGGCUCUGGAUCCAAUCCCUUAGUCCAUCAAAAAAGUAGCUAUUUUAAUAAGUAAUAAGGUCCUUAGACAGCCAUAUAGUAAAUGAUAAAAUUGCAUCUAUAAGAUACACAACAAUAAACUCCAAAUACAUCAGAAGGAUAGUGGAACUUCUCACUAUACAGGCAUCAAGGAGUUGGCAUAUGCUCUUCUAAAUAAUCAUAAAACUGGGCAAAAGUUAUUUCAGGGAUCCAGAGACAAACUAGAAGCCAGCAAAAAGUGGAGAAGCAUUUAUCCAUGAAAAACUGCUCGCAUUGUGGGAAUCAGAGUCUGCAAACUACUUGCGGGGGUGCUGUCUUUCCCUCUCCCAAUUUCAUUAUUGGUCCUAUACAUCUGUUGGGAUUGCAAUUUUACGAUUAGAGAAUCGGUCAGGAAGAAUACCAGGUUUGCUACUAAAUGAUUUAUACUUGAUACGAGGAAGAGGGUAAAACUCCAGGGUGUUAUUAGUAAAAGUAGCAAACUCAGUAGAAAAUGAACAGGAAAAACCUACAUCUCUGCUAAUCUAAGGUUGUGGUCCCAGAGCAAACUGAUGCAAGUAUUUGAUAAGUCAGCUCUUUAACAGACAGGUCCUAGAACUUGGAGUCGCAGAAGUGCUAAAUAAUCUCGCCGCUGAACUCUGACCAUGAAGCUGUGUGCACGAACAGGGGAGACCCAAGAGAAUGCAGUAGAAAGUGAAAGAUAAGGCCAAUUUAAGAACUGGCUAAACUUUGAAUGUUUCCCACCCUAUGUAUAGAUAAAUCAUCCUAGUAGAAGGAUGCCUUAAAGGACCAAGGUAUUAGAGAUCAACGUCAACACUAACUGUGCUGUCCAUUAAGUUAUGUUAUCCCAGAAAACUAGGUUUUUAAAAUAGUGAAGGUAAGAGUGAAAAAAUUGAGGCAUUAGUGGUUCAUCAUAGAGAAGAGAGAUUCUACAUUUUAAGCCAAAAUAACCACUGGAUGCAAAACAUGAGAUUCCAGAAUUGUUAUGUAUACUACCUAACAUAUCAAAUCUCUAAAGAGUUUUGAGAUGUGCAAAGAAACAAAUUGUUAUCAAUCAAAGGAAAACAACAAAAAAAUACAGAAAUGGAUUCUGACAACCCAGAUAUUGAAUUUAGCCAACAAAUGGCUGGACAUGGUGGCAUAAGUCUUACAUAAUCGCAGCACUCUGGGAGACUGAGGUAGGAGGAUCGCAAGUUCAAGCCCAGCCUGGUCUUCGUGGCUCAGGACAAAGGCCCUUGUGUUCAAACCUUGUUACAGAAUAAAUUAGGCAACAAAGACUUCAAAAUAUAUUAUUUAUUGAAAAUAUAUUCAAAUAAUUAAAGGAAAUCUUGUCCAAAGAUUUAAAGGAAAAUGUGGAAGAAAUAACUCAGCAAAUAGAAAAUCUCAAUAGCGAAAAGAAAACUAUAAAAAGAAUGAAAUGGAAACUCCAGGAUUUAAAAGUACAAUAAUUAUUUAAAAUUCACUAAUUUGUUCAUUAGCAGAUUCAAGAAAGCAGAAGGAAUUAAAGAAAUCAAAGAGAACUCAGUAUUUACAAAUCAUUUCAUCCAAAAAUGCAUGUGAAUCGAAUCAUGAGGAAGCAUCAAACAAAACCAAAUUCAGAAAAAUUCUGUGAAAUUACUAUAUUUUAGUAGAAUUAUGUAAGAUAAGUGGCCUAGAAUCUUUAAGAAAUCAAUAUCAUGAAUGACAAAGAAAGGUUGAGAACUGUUAUAGAUUAAAGACUAACUUAAGGAUAAAUCAGUGUAAUACACGAUGUUGGACUGGAUUUUUUCUGAAAAAUAAAAAUUUUCUAGAAGAGACACUGUAGAAAUUGAUGAAAUUAGAAAAUAAUCUGUAGUUAGAUAAAACAUAUUUAUGUUAAAUUUCUUGAAUUUGAACUCCACUAUAUUUAUAUAAAGUGUUUCUAUUGUUAGAAAAGUAACAUUUAGUAUUGAAGGUAAAGGGAUACUAUAUAUGUGAUGUAUUCUUUUUUAAUUGUAUUUUUUAAGUAGUACAUAUUUGUACUUUGUAAUGUUUACACUUCUCCUGGGGAGCUGGUACACAUUCCUAAUGCAUCUUGGUUCCUCUUUUCAUCCCCAUCCCUUCUUUCCCUUCUUUCCUCUAUCUCUUGAUCUCCUUCCCCUUUGAGAAAGAGCUCUUUACUUCCUAUUAUGUCUUUUAUUUUGCUCUUUAUUUAUACUUUGAGUUUUUCACAUAAGAUAAAACCAUGUGAUAUUUAAGUUUGUGAAUCUGAUUUACUUCAUUUAACAUUAUGAUCUCAAGGUGCAUCCAUCUUCCUUCAAGUGACUCAAGUUUAUCUUUCUUUAUGUCUGAGUAGUCCUCCUUUAUGCAUAAAAACCACAUUUUCUUUAUCUUUUCGUCUGUUGGUGGACAUAUAGGCUGCUUACGAGAUUUAGCUAUUGUGAAUCGUGCUGCUAUAUACAUGGGAAUGCAUGGAUCACCAUAAUAUGAUGUCUUU